AUGAACGCUGGCGGCGUGCCUAAUACAUGCAAGUCGAGCGAACAGACGAGGAGCUUGCUCCUCUGACGUUAGCGGCGGACGGGUGAGUAACACGUGGAUAACCUACCUAUAAGACUGGGAUAACUUCGGGAAACCGGAGCUAAUACCGGAUAAUAUAUUGAACCGCAUGGUUCAAUAGUGAAAGACGGUUUUGCUGUCACUUAUAGAUGGAUCCGCGCCGCAUUAGCUAGUUGGUAAGGUAACGGCUUACCAAGGCGACGAUGCGUAGCCGACCUGAGAGGGUGAUCGGCCACACUGGAACUGAGACACGGUCCAGACUCCUACGGGAGGCAGCAGUAGGGAAUCUUCCGCGAUGGGCGAAAGGCUGACGGAGCAACGCCGCGUGAGUGAUGAAGGUCUUCGGAUCGUAAAACUCUGUUAUUAGGGAAGAACAAAUGUGUAAGUAACUAUGCACGUCUUGACGGUACCUAAUCAGAAAGCCACGGCUAACUACG
rnacentral:rRNA from 1 species